UACGUAGGGUGCAAGCGUUAAUCGGAAUUACUGGGCGUAAAGCGUGCGCAGGCGGUGAUGUAAGACAGAUGUGAAAUCCCCGGGCUCAACCUGGGAACUGCAUUUGUGACUGCAUCGCUAGAGUACGGCAGAGGGGGAUGGAAUUCCGCGUGUAGCAGUGAAAUGCGUAGAUAUGCGGAGGAACACCGAUGGCGAAGGCAAUCCCCUGGGCCUGUACUGACGCUCAUGCACGAAAGACGUGGGGAGCAAACAGG
rnacentral:rRNA from 1 species